GCUUGCGGGGUGGAUCAGUGGCGAACGGGUGAGUAACACGUGAGCAACCUGCCCCUGACUCUGGGAUAAGCGCUGGAAACGGCGUCUAAUACUGGAUAUGAAUCACGAUCGCAUGGUCUGUGGUUGGAAAGAUUUUUCGGUUGGGGAUGGGCUCGCGGCCUAUCAGCUUGUUGGUGAGGUAAUGGCUUACCAAGGCGUCGACGGGUAGCCGGCCUGAGAGGGUGACCGGCCACACUGGGACUGAGACACGGCCCAGACUCCUACGGGAGGCAGCAGUGGGGAAUAUUGCACAAUGGGCGGAAGCCUGAUGCAGCAACGCCGCGUGAGGGAUGACGGCCUUCGGGUUGUAAACCUCUUUUAGCAAGGAAGAAGCUUUCGGGUGACGGUACUUGCAGAAAAAGCGCCGGCUAACUACGUGCCAGCAGCCGCGGUAAUACGUAGGGCGCAAGCGUUAUCCGGAAUUAUUGGGCGUAAAGAGCUCGUAGGCGGUUUGUCGCGUCUGCUGUGAAAUCCCGAGGCUCAACCUCGGGCCUGCAGUGGGUACGGGCAGACUAGAGUGCGGUAGGGGAGAUUGGAAUUCCUGGUGUAGCGGUGGAAUGCGCAGAUAUCAGGAGGAACACCGAUGGCGAAGGCAGAUCUCUGGGCCGUAACUGACGCUGAGGAGCGAAAGGGUGGGGAGCAAACAGGCUUAGAUACCCUGGUAGUCCACCCCGU
rnacentral:rRNA from 1 species